CGGACGGGUGAGUAAUGCUUGGGAAUCUGGCUUAUGGAGGGGGAUAACGACGGGAAACUGUCACUAAUACCGCGUAGAAUCGAGAGAUGAAAGUGCGGGACCGCAAGGCCGCAUGCCAUAGGAUGAGCCCAAGUGGGAUUAGGUAGUUGGUGGGGUAAAGGCCUACCAAGCCGACGAUCUCUAGCUGGUCUGAGAGGAUGACCAGCCACACCGGGACUGAGACACGGCCCGG
rnacentral:rRNA from 1 species